GAUGAACGCUGGCGGCGUGCCUAAUACAUGCAAGUCGAGCGAAUGGAUUAAGAGCUUGCUCUUAUGAAGUUAGCGGCGGACGGGUGAGUAACACGUGGGUAACCUGCCCAUAAGACUGGGAUAACUCCGGGAAAACGGGGCUAAUACCGGAUAACAUUUUGAACCGCAUGGUUCGAAAUUGAAAGGCGGCUUCGCCUGUCACUUAUGGAUGGACCCGCGUCGCAUUAGCUAGUUGGUGAGGUAACGGCUCACCAAGGCAACGAUGCGUAGCCGACCUGAGAGGGUGAUCGGCCACACUGGGACUGAGACACGGCGCAGACUCCUACGGGAGGCAGCAGUAGGGAAUCUUCCGCAAUGGACGAAAGUCUGACGGAGCAACGCCGCGUGAGUGAUGAAGGCUUUCGGGUCGUAAAACUCUGCUGUUAGUGAAGAACAAGUGCUAGUUGAAUAAGCUGGCACCUUGACGGUACCUAACCAGAAAGCCACGGCUAACUACGUGCCAGCCGCCGCAGUAA
rnacentral:rRNA from 1 species